rnacentral:rRNA from 1 species
GUAGCAAUACUUGGUGACGACCGGCGCACGGGUGAGUAACGCGUAUGCAACCUACCCUUAACUGGGGAAUAGCCCGAAGAAAUUCGGAUUAAUGUCCCAUAAUAUAUAUGAAUCGCAUGGUUUAUAUAUAAAAACUCCGGUGGUUAAGGAUGGGCAUGCGUGACAUUAGAUAGUUGGUGAGGUAACGGCUCACCAAGUCAGCGAUGUCUAGGGGGCCUGAGAGGGUAAUCCCCCACACUGGUACUGAGACACGGACCAGACUCCUACGGGAGGCAGCAGUGAGGAAUAUUGCGCAAUGGAGGCAACUCUGACGCAGCCAUGCCGCGUGCAGGAAGACGGCCCUAUGGGUUGUAAACUGCUUUUAUACGGGAAUAAUUCCCUCUACGUGUAGGGGGUUGAAUGUACCGUAAGAAUAAGCAUCGGUUAACUCCGUGCCAGCAGCCGCGGUAAUACGGAGGAUGCAAGCGUUAUCCGGAUUUAUUGGGUUUAAAGGGUGCGUAGGCGGGAUUGUAAGUCAGUGGUGAAAUCUUGCAGCUUAACUGUAAAAUAGCCAUUGAUACUGCAGUUCUUGAGUACAAUUGAGGUAGGCGGAAUGUGUAAUGUAGCGGUGAAAUGCUUAGAUAUUACACAGAACACCGAUUGCGUAGGCAGCUUACUAAGUUGUAACUGACGCUGAUGCACGAAAGCGUGGGUAGCGAACAGGAUUAGAUACCCUGGUAGUCCACGCCGUAAACGAUGAUCACUCGUUGUAGGCGAUACACAGUCAGCGACUGAGCGAAAGCAUUAAGUGAUCCACCUGGGGAGUACGGUCGCAAGACUGAAACUCAAAGGAAUUGACGGGGGCCCGCACAAGCGGGGGAACAUGUGGUUUAAUUCGAUGAUACGCGAGGAACCUUACCUGGCCUUGACAUGUAUCUAGUAGAAGGGUGAAAGCCUGACGAAGUAGCAAUACCAGGAUACACAGGUGCUGCAUGGCUGUCGUCAGCUCGUGUCGUGAGAUGUUGGGUUAAGUCCCGCAACGAGCGCAACCCCCGUGUUCUGUUGCCACCCGGACGAGAGUUCGGAGCACUCUGGACAGACUGCCUCGCUUAAACGAGGAGGAAGGUGGGGAUGACGUCAAGUCAGGAUGGCCCUUACGGCCAGGGCUGCACGCGUACUACAAUGCCCGCUACAAAGGGACGCAAGACCGCCAGGUGGAGCAAAUCUCAGAAAAGCGGGCUCAGUUCAGAUUGUCGGCUGCAAUUUGCCGGCAUGAAGCUGGAAUCGCUAGUAAUGGCGCAUCAGCUACGGCGCCGUGAAUACGUUCCCAGGCCUUGUACACACCGCCCGUCACAUCAUGAAAGCCGUUUGUACCCGAAGUCAGUGUGUCAACCGCAAGGAGAUAGCUGCCGAAGGUAUGGUCGGUGAUUGGGAUGAAGUCGUAACAAGGUA